rnacentral:rRNA from 1 species
UACGUAGGGGGCUAGCGUUGUCCGGAAUCAUUGGGCGUAAAGCGCGUGUAGGCGGUCCGGCAAGUCCGCUGUGAAAGUCGGGGGCUCAACCCUCGGAUGCCGGUGGAUACUGUCGGGCUUGAGUACGGAAGAGGCGAGUGGAAUUCCUGGUGUAGCGGUGAAAUGCGCAGAUAUCAGGAGGAACACCAAUUGCGAAGGCAGCUCGCUGGGACGUUACUGACGCUGAGACGCGAAAGCGUGGGGAGCAAACAGG